GGCAGACGGGAGAGUACACGUGGGAACGUACCCUUUGGUUCGGGACAACCCAGGGAAACUUGGGCUAAUACCGGAUAAGCCCUUACGGGGAAAGAUUCAUCGCCGAAGGAUCGGCCCGUGUCUGAUUAGCUAGUUGGUGGGGUAAUGGCCCACCAAGGCGACGAUCAGUAGCUGGUCUGAGAGGAUGAUCAGCCUCACUGGGACUGAGACACGGCCCAGACUCCUACGGGAGGCAGCAGUGGGGAAUAUUGGACAAUGGGCGCAAGCCUGAUCCAGCCAUGCCGCGUGGGUGAUGAAGGCCCUAGGGUUGUAAAGCCCUUUCGGCGGGGAAGAUAAUGACGGUACCCGCAGAAGAAGCCCCGGCUAACUUCGUGCCAGCCGCCGCGG
rnacentral:rRNA from 1 species